ACGGGAGGCAGCAGUGGGGAAUAUUGCACAAUGGGGGGAAACCCUGAUGCAGCAACGCCGCGUGAGUGAUGAAGUAUUUCGGUAUGUAAAACUCUAUCAGCAGGGAAGAAAAUGACGGUACCUGACUAAGAAGCACCGGCUACAUACGUGCCAGCAGCCGCGGUAAUACGUAUGGUGCAAGCGUUAUCCGGAUUUACUGGGGGUAAAGGGAGCGCAGGCGGCAUAGCAAGCCAGAGGUGAAAACCCGGGGCUCAACCCCGAGGAUUGCCUUUGGAACUGUUAAGCUUGAGUACUGGAGGGGCAGGCGGAAUUCCUGGUGUAGCGGUGAAAUGCGUAGAUAUCAGGAGGAACACCGGUGGCGAAGGCGGCCUGCUGGACAGAAACUGACGCUGAGGCUCGAAAGCGUGGGGAGCAAACAGGAUUAGAUACCCUGGUA
rnacentral:rRNA from 1 species